GACGAACGCUGGCGGCGUGCUUAACACAUGCAAGUCGAACGGAAAGGCCCCUUUUGGGGUACUCGAGUGGCGAACGGGUGCGUAACACGUGAGUAACCUGCCCUUGACUUCGUGAUAACUUCAGGAAACUGGGGCUAAUACCGGAUAGGAAUCCUUGCUGCAUGGUGGGGGUUGGAAAGCUUCGGCGGUUUUGGAUGGACUCGCGGCUUAUCAGCUUGUUGGUGGGGUAGUGGCUUACCAAGGCUUUGACGGGUAGCCGGCCUGAGAGGGCGACCGGCCACAUUGGGACUGAGAGAAGGCCCAGACUCCUACGGGAGGAAGAAGGGGGGAAUAUUGAACAAUGGGCGGAAGCCUGAUGCAGAAACGCCGCGUGCGGGAUGACGGCCUUCGGGUUGUAAAACGAUUUCAGAAGGGGCGAAGCUUGUGGUGACGGUACCUGAAGAAGAAGCACCGGCUAACUACGUG
rnacentral:rRNA from 1 species